rnacentral:rRNA from 1 species
AACGUAGGACACAAGCGUUAUCCGGAAUUACUGGGCGUAAAGCGCAUGCAGGCGGAUUACCAAGUCAUGUGUGAAAGCUCCCGGCUAAACUGGGAGAGGACGGAUGAGACUGGUAGUCUUGAGGGUGGUAGAGGCGUGUGGAAUUCCGCGUGUAGUGGUGAAAUGCGUAGAGAUGCGGAGGAACACCAGUGGCGAAGGCGGCACGCUGGGCCACACCUGACGCUGAGAUGCGAAAGCAUGGGGAGCGAACGGG